rnacentral:rRNA from 1 species
AAAAAAGGUAAGCUACUAAGAGCGAAUGGUGGAUGCCUUGACUGGUAAAGGCGAUGAAGGACGUACUAGACUGCGAUAAGCUACGGGGAGCUGUCAAGAAGCUUUGAUCCGUAGAUUUCCGAAUGGGGCAACCCAAUGUAUAGAGAUAUACAUUACCUAUAUAGGAGCGAACGAGGGGAAUUGAAACAUCUUAGUACUCUCAGGAAAAGAAAUCAAUAGAGAUUGCGUCAGUAGCGGCGAGCGAAAGCGCAAGAGGGCAAACCCAGUGCUUGCACUGGGGGUUGUAGGACUGCAAUGUGCAAGAGGUAAGUUUAGCAGAACAUUCUGGAAAGUAUAACCAUAGAGGGUGAUAGUCCCGUAUGCGAAAAACAAACCUUAGCUAGCAGUAUCCUGAGUAGGGCGGGACACGAGGAAUCCUGUCUGAAUCCGGGUCGACCACGAUCCAACCCUAAAUACUAAUACCAGAUCGAUAGUGCACAAGUACCGUGAGGGAAAGGUGAAAAGAACUGAGGUGAUCAGAGUGAAAUAGAACCUGAAACCAUUUGCUUACAAUCAUUCAGAGCCCUAUGUAGCAAUACAGGGUGAUGGACUGCCUUUUGCAUAAUGAGCCUGCGAGUUGUGGUGUCUGGCAAGGUUAAGCAAACGCGAAGCCGUAGCGAAAGCGAGUCUGAAUAGGGCGCUUAGUCAGAUGCUGCAGACCCGAAACGAAGUGAUCUAUCCAUGAGCAAGUUGAAGCUAGUGUAAGAACUAGUGGAGGACUGAACCCAUAGGCGUUGAAAAGCCCCGGGAUGACUUGUGGAUAGGGGUGAAAGGCCAAUCAAACUUCGUGAUAGCUGGUUCUCUCCGAAAUAUAUUUAGGUAUAGCGUUGUGUCGUAAUAUAAGGGGGUAGAGCACUGAAUGGGCUAGGGCAUACACCAAUGUACCAAACCCUAUCAAACUCCGAAUACCUUAUAUGUAAUCACAGCAGUCAGGCGGCGAGUGAUAAAAUCCGUCGUCAAGAGGGAAACAACCCAGACUACCAGCUAAGGUCCCUAAAUCUUACUUAAGUGGAAAACGAUGUGAAGUUACUUAAACAACCAGGAGGUUGGCUUAGAAGCAGCCAUCCUUUAAAGAAAGCGUAAUAGCUCACUGGUCUAGUGAUUUUGCGCGGAAAAUAUAACGGGGCUAAAGUAAGUACCGAAGCUGUAGACUU